CUUGUGUCCGUCUCCAUCAUGGCCCGCACUUCUCUCCUCCUUCUCCCUCUCCUCACGCUCCUCGCUCUUUGCGCAGGUGCUGUGAGUUCGUAUGUGGUGACUCAGCCGCCCUCUGCAUCCGUGGCUCUGGGACAAACAGCCACACUCACUUGCUCUGGUGACAACAUUGGUGGCAAAAGUGUGCAGUGGUAUCAGCAGAAACCCGGCCGGGCCCCCAUGCUGGUUAUAUACAGAGAUAGCAACCGACCCUCUGGGAUCCCCGACCGGUUCUCCGGCUCCAACUCCGGGAACACGGCCAAACUGACCAUCGCCAGGGCCCAGGCCGAGGAUGAGGCCGAUUAUUACUGUCAAGCAGGUUCCGUCAGUUCAUCUGCACUGACUCAGCCUCCCUUGGCGUCCGUGUCUCUGGGACAAACGGCCACACUCACCUGCUCCGGGACACAAAUAAGAACAAUUGGUGCAAUCUGGUACCAGCAGAAACCCCGCCAGGCCCCUGUGUUGGUUAUGUACAGUAUAAUGGAUAGCGACGACCGUCCCUCUGGCAUCUCCGACCGGUUCUCCGGCUUUAAAUCCGGGAGCACUGCCACGCUGACCAUCGCCAGGGCCCAGGCUGAGGAUGAGGCCGAUUAUUACUGUCAGUCGUACACAAGCAGUUAUGAUCCUCACGGUGACACAGGGGGAUGA